UCGGGAAUCUUAGACAAUGGGGGAAACCCUGAUCUAGCCAUGCCGCGUGAGUGACGAAGGCCCUAGGGUCGUAAAGCUCUUUCGCCAGGGAAGAUAAUGACGGUACCUGGUAAAGAAGUCCCGGCUAACUCCGUGCCAGCAGCCGCGGUAAUACGGAGGGGACUAGCGUUGUUCGGAAUUACUGGGCGUAAAGCGCGCGUAGGCGGACUAUUAAGUCAGGGGUGAAAUCCCGGGGCUCAACCCCGGAACUGCCUUUGAUACUGGUAGUCUUGAGUUCGAGAGAGGUGAGUGGAAUUCCGAGUGUAGAGGUGAAAUUCGUAGAUAUUCGGAAGAACACCAGUGGCGAAGGCGACUCGCUGGACAGGUAUUGACGCUGAGGUGCGAAAGCGUGGGGAGCAAACAGGAUUAGAUACCCGUGUAGUCC
rnacentral:rRNA from 1 species